rnacentral:rRNA from 1 species
UACGUAGGUGGCGAGCGUUGUCCGGAUUUACUGGGCGUAAAGGGCGCGUAGGCGGUCAGCACAAGUCAGUUGUGAAAUCUCCGGGCUUAACCCGGAAAGGUCAACUGAUACUGUGCGACUAGAGUGCGGAAGGGGCAACUGGAAUUCUCGGUGUAGCGGUGAAAUGCGUAGAUAUCGAGAGGAACACCUGCGGCGAAGGCGGGUUGCUGGGCCGACACUGACGCUGAUGCGCGAAAGCCAGGGGAGCGAACGGG